rnacentral:ncRNA from 1 species
CUGAUAGAGGCGCGGCUGACAAGAGUAUUCUCCGUUGAUGAUGACAGUCAUACGGUCAGGAAACCGGACGGGAAAGAAAGGGGAUGCCGCCGAGGCGGUGCGGGGGUCCUGCCUGCACACCUGCCGGGACACCGGAUAAGAUCCGGCGGACUGUCGCAUUUGAUGCGGAGAGCUGUC